rnacentral:rRNA from 1 species
UGGGGAAUCUUCCGCAAUGGACGAAAGUCUGACGGAGCGACGCCGCGUGAGUGAAGAAGGCCCUCGGGUCGUAAAGCUCUGUCAUCAGGGACGAAUGGCCGGAUCAGGAAAUGGGUUCGGAUUGACGGUACCUGAGAAGGAAGCCACGGCUAACUACGUGCCAGCAGCCGCGGUAAUACGUAGGUGGCGAGCGUUGUCCGGAAUUAUUGGGCGUAAAGCGCGCGCAGGUGGGAUCUUAAGUCCAUUUUGAAAGUUCGGAGCUCAACUCCGUGAGGGGAUGGAAACUGAGAUUCUUGAGUACCGGAGAGGAAAGCGGAAUUCCCCGUGUAGCGGUGAAAUGCGUAGAUAUGGGGAGGAACACCAGUGGCGAAGGCGGCUUUCUGGACGGUGUCUGACACUG